rnacentral:rRNA from 1 species
GGGUGAGUAACGCGUGAGUAACCUGCCCUGGACUCUGGGAUAACCCCGAGAAAUCGGAGCUAAUACCGGAUAGGACCCCUAUUCCUCGCACUGAGGUUUGGGUGGAAAGUUUUUCGGUCUGGGAUGGACUCGCAAGGCCUAUCAGCUUGUUGGUGAGGUAAUGGCUCAGCCAAGGCAUCGACGGGUAGCCGGCCUGGGAGGGUGACCGGCCACACUGGGACCUUGAGACACUAGGGGGCCCCAGGACUUCCCUAACGGGGAAAGGCCAGCCAGGUGGGGGGAAAUGAUUGGCAACAAAUGGGCCGCCAAGGCCCUGAAUGCCAGCCAACSCCSCGCCUUGCCGGGAAUGGACGGGCCCUUCGGGGGUUGUAAAACCGGACUUUUUAGUUAGGGAAGGAAGGGGCUUCGGGCUUAGACGGGUACCUUGCAGCAAAAAGGACCCCGGCUAACUUACAUUGCCAGCCAGCCGGCGGUAAUAACGUAGGGGUCCCGAGACGUUGUUCCGGAAUUAAUUGGGGCGUAAAGAAGCUCGUAGGACGGUUUGUCGCGUCUGCUGUGAAAAACUAGAGGCUCAACCCUCUAGCCUGCAGUGGGUACGGGCAGACUUGAGUGGUGUAGGGGAGACUGGAAUUCCUGGUGUAUCGGUGGAAUGCGCAGAUAUCAGGAGGAACACCGAUGGCGAACGCAGGUCUCUGGGCACUUACUGACGCUGAGGAGCGAAAGCGUGGGGAGCGAACAGGAUUAGAUACCCUGGUAGUCCACGCCGUAAACGUUGCGCGCUAGAUGUGGGGACCUUUCCGCGGUUUCCGUGUCGUAGCUAACGCAUUACGCGCCCACGCCUGGGGGAGUACGGCCGCUAGGACUAGAAACUCAAAGGGAAUUGACGGGGGGCCCCGCACAAAUCGGGCGGAAGCAUGGCGGAAUUAAUUCCAAUGCAACCGUCGAAUAAACCUUUACCAAUGGCUUGGACAUAUACCAAGAAACGGGACCAUAAACGGGGCAAAUUCGUUUGGAACACUCGUUAUACCAGGUGGGUGGCAUGGCUUGUCGCCCAGCCUCGAGUUCGUGAAAAUGUUUGGGCUUAAAUUCCCCGAUACCGAGGCCCCACCCCUCCCUCGCCAUGUUUGGCCAGCCCCGAUUAUGGGUGGGGGGAACUCGACGUGGAAAAUUGCCCCGGGGGUCAACCUCCGAAGGAAAGGUGGGGGAAUGAACGUUACAAAUUCAUUUUAUGGCCACCGUUAAGGUCCUUGGGGGCUUCCAACGCCUGGCCUUACAAAUGGGCCCGGGUUCAAAAAGCUGCGAUGUCGUAAGGCGGAGCGAAUCCCAAAAAGCCGGUCUCAGUUCGGAUUGAGGUCUGCAACUCGACCUCAUGAAGUCGGAGUCGCUAGUAAUCGCAGAUCAGCAACGCUGCGGUGAAUACGUUCCCGGGCCUUGUACACACCGCCCGUCAAGUC